UACAGAGGGGGCAAGCGUUAUUCGGAAUUAUUGGGCGUAAAGGGCGCGUAGGCGGCCAGGCAAGUGGAAGGUGAAAUCCCUCGGCUUAACCGAGGAACUGCCCUCCAAACUGCUUGGCUUGAGACCGGGAGAGGUGAGUGGAAUUCCCAGUGUAGCGGUGAAAUGCGUAGAUAUUGGGAGGAACACCAGUGGCGAAGGCGGCUCUCUGGACCGUAACUGACGCUGAGGCGCGAAAGCGUGGGGAGCAAACAGG
rnacentral:rRNA from 1 species